rnacentral:rRNA from 1 species
CUUUCUUUGCUGGCGACCGGCGCACGGGUGAGUAACACGUAUCCAACCUGCCCUUUACUCGGGGAUAGCCCUUCGAAAGAAAGAUUAAUACCCGAUAGUAUAAUGAUUCCGCAUGGUUUCAUUAUUAAAGGAUUCCGGUAAAGGAUGGGGAUGCGUUCCAUUAGGUUGUUGGUGAGGUAACGGCUCACCAAGCCUUCGAUGGAUAGGGGUUCUGAGAGGAAGGUCCCCCACAUUGGAACUGAGACACGGUCCAA